UGUCCUUUGGAUAUGGUGUUUGUUGUCAUAUGCUUGGUUCUGGAGAAGGGCACAGGCCUGUCUCUCCAGGAAAGGAGAAAGAGGACAACAAGGCUUUUCAGGGCACACCUCUUAUUUCUAGCACUCUAGAAUCCUUCAUGCAGGGGCCACAUUACCAGCAUCUCGGGGAAAGGUGGACAUUUUCUGUGCAACCUAAUCAAUAUUGUUUCUUUCCUCAGUUUCUUCAUUGGAAAACUGUCCAAGGACCAUAAGCCCUGAACUUUAUUCCUGAGGGGAAAAAUAACACCUUGAAGAGUUUAAAGAACACAGCCCUUUCCUAAAGCUGAGAUACUCAUCCUGGACUCUUGGGGAAAAAAA